rnacentral:tRNA from 1 species
ACUUUCAAUGGACAAAAGUCGUCCAAUGGCCUUAGGAGUCACAACUCU